AACGAACGCUGGCGGCAUGCCUAACACAUGCAAGUCGAACGAGACCUUCGGGUCUAGUGGCGCACGGGUGCGUAACGCGUGGGAACCUGCCUUUAGGUUCGGAAUAACUCAGAGAAAUUUGAGCUAAUACAGGAUGAUGUCUUCGGACCAAAGAUUUCUCGCCUUUAGAUGGGCCCGCGUUGGAUUAGCUAGUUGGUGGGGUAAAGGCCUACCAAGGCGACGAUACAUAGCUGGUCUGGGAGGAUGAUCAGCCACACUGGGACUGAGACACGGCCCAGACCCCGACGGGAGGCAGCAGUAGGGAAUAUUGGGCAAUGGGCGAAAGCCUAAUCCAGCAAUGCCGCGUGAGUGAUGAAGGCCUUAGUGUUGUAAAGCUCUUUUACCCGAGAUGAUAAUGACAGUAACGGGAGAAUAAGCUCCGGCUAACUCCGUG
rnacentral:rRNA from 1 species